rnacentral:tRNA from 1 species
ACUCUUCUAGUAUAUUCAUUACAAUUGACUUCCAAUCUCUAGAAUCUGGCUUAAACCCAGAGAAGAGUA